rnacentral:rRNA from 1 species
AACGAACGCUGGCGGCAGGCUUAACACAUGCAAGUCGAACGCCCCGCAAGGGGAGUGGCAGACGGGUGAGUAACGCGUGGGAAUCUACCCUGAACUGCGGGAUAGCUCCGGGAAACUGGAAUUAAUACCGCAUGUGCCCUGAGGGGCAAAGAUUUAUCGGUUCAGGAUGAGCCCGCGUCCGAUUAGCUAGUUGGUGGGGUAAAGGCCUACCAAGGCGACGAUCGGUAGCUGGUCUAAGAGGAUGAUCAGCCACAUUGGGACUGAGACACGGCCCAAACUCCUACGGGAGGCAGCAGUGGGGAAUAUUGGACAAUGGGCGCAAGCCUGAUCCAGCCAUGCCGCGUGAGUGAUGAAGGCCCUAGGGUUGUAAAGCUCUUUCAGUGGGGACGAUAAUGACGGUACCCACAGAAGAAGCCCCGGCUAACUUCGUGCCAGCCGCCGCAGUAA